ACAAGCGUGGAUGAUGUGGUUUAAUUCGAUGACAACGCGAAAACCUUACCCACCUUUGACAUGUACGGAAGCCUUUAGAGAUAGAGGCGUGCUCGAAAGAGAGCCGUAACACAGGUGCUGCAUGGCUGUCGUCAGCUCGUGUCGUGAGAUGUUGGGUUAAGUCCCGCAACGAGCGCAACCCUUGUCAUUAGUUGCUACAUUCAGUUGGGCACUCUAAUGAGACUGCCGGUGACAAGCCGGAGGAAGGUGGGGAUGACGUCAAGUCCUCAUGGCCCUUAUAGGUGGGGCUACACACGUCAUACAAUGGCUGGUAUAAAGGGUUGCCAACCCGCGAGGGGGAGCUAAUCCCAUAAAGCCAGUCGUAGUCCGGAUUGGAGUCUGCAACUCGACUCCAUGAAGCCGGAAUCGCUAGUAAUCGUGGAUCAGCAUGCCACGGUCGAAUACGUUCCCGGGCCUU
rnacentral:rRNA from 1 species